GCCUGGCUAGCUCAAUCGGCUAGAGCAUUCGACUCUUAAUCGAAAGGUUGCGGGUUCGAGUCCCGCGUUGGGCU
rnacentral:tRNA from 2 species